GACGAACGCUGGCGGCGUGCCUAAUACAUGCAAGUUGAGCGCUGAAGGCUGGUACUUGUACCAACUGGAUGAGCAGCGAACGGGUGAGUAACGCGUGGGGAAUCUGCCUUUGAGCGGGGGACAACAUUUGGAAACGAAUGCUAAGAGCGCAUAAAAACUUUAAACACAAGUUGUAAGUUUGAAAGAUGCAAUUGCAUCACUCAAAGAUGAUCCCGCGUUGUAUUAGCUAGGUGGUGAGGUAAAGGCUCACCAAGGCGAUGAUACAUAGCCGACCUGAGAGGGUGAUCGGCCACAUUGGGAUGGGGACACGGCCCAAACUCCUGCGGGAGGCAGCAGUAGCGAAUCUUCAGGAAUGGACGAAAGUGUGACCGAGCCACGCCGCGUGAGUGACUAAGGUUUCCGGGUCGUAAAAAUCUGUUGGUAGAGAAGAACGUUGGUUAGAGUGGAAAGCUCAGCAAGUGACGGUAACUGCCCAAGAAGCGACGGCUAACUACGUG
rnacentral:rRNA from 1 species